rnacentral:tRNA from 1 species
GCCACCCGGAGCGCACUCGGGGCCCCCCGGCGCAGCUUCCUAAACCGCAGGUCGCAGGUUCGACUCCUGCCGGGGGCGCCA